CUCCUGCUUGAGCACUUACUACACACAGCAAAUCCCUAUCUGGAAUUGGGUGGCUUUCCCACUUGCCAAUUUACAAAAAGUAUAACUGCAAGACACCAUUCCUCUGGCUUUUCCUCCUCACUCUGCAGCAUGCUGAUCCCUUCUUUUUAAAAGCCUGUUAGCUAAUUGAUCAGAUACAGGUGAGGUGCAAUUAGACAUAAGUGAAACUACUAAGCAAAAUAAAAGUUCUGGUCCGACUGUUACUUAGCAGCUGGUGCUAUUGGAGCACUGGCCCACCCUGCUCUCCAAGUGCUCAGCCCCAGGGACCCAUACCGUGGUUUGCAGAGUACCAGUGAUGCAUCUUGCAAACCUAACAUCUCUCCCUGGGACAUUUAACUCUCAAACC